rnacentral:rRNA from 1 species
AGUGAACGCUGGCGGUAGGCCUAACACAUGCGAGUCGAACGGCAGCACAGUAAGAGCUUGCUCUUACGGGUGGCGAGUGGCGGACGGGUGAGGAAUACAUCGGAAUCUACUUUUUCGUGGGGGAUAACGUAGGGAAACUUACGCUAAUACCGCAUACGACCUACGGGUGAAAGCAUGGGAUCUUCGGACCUUGCGCGAUUGAAUGAGCCGAUGUCGGAUUAGCUAGUUGGCGGGGUAAAGGCCCACCAAGGCGACGAUCCGUAGCUGGUCUGAGAGGAUGAUAGGCCACACUGAACCUGAGACACGGUCCAGACUCCUACGGGAGGCAGCAGUGGGGAAUAUUGGAAAAUGGGCGCAAGCCUGAUCCAGCCAUACCGCGUGGGUGAAGAAGGCCUUCGGGUUGUAAAGCCCUUUUGUUGGGAAAGAAAAGAAGCAGGUUAAUACCCCGCUGUUCUGACGGUACCCAAAGAAUAAGCACCGGCUAACUUCGU